rfam:Pseudomonas sp. MF4836 contig009, whole genome shotgun sequence.
CGGCAAGAUGUGUGUUGUAGGCCUACGCUGCUCCGCAGCCAGGGCCUCCACCACCUUGCCUUAUUCGCCUUCAGCUCAAUGGAUCUUGCUCUGCGAGGCC